rnacentral:rRNA from 1 species
UACGUAGGGUGCGAGCGUUAAUCGGAAUUACUGGGCGUAAAGCGUGCGCAGGCGGUUUUGUAAGCCAGAUGUGAAAUCCCCGGGCUUAACCUGGGAAUGGCAUUUGGGACUGCAAGGCUGGAGUGCGGCAGAGGAGACUGGAAUUCCUGGUGUAGCAGUGAAAUGCGUAGAUAUCAGGAGGAAUACCGAUGGCGAAGGCAGGUCUCUGGGCUGACACUGACGCUCAUGCACGAAAGCGUGGGGGAGCAAACAG